GCACAGUCCCACCGUCCGGAAGAGGACGUCAAGGGCAGGGCACAGCUCUCAGCAGGCCCUACUGACCCUCCUUGCUCAAACGGGUGUAAAAUGUGUCUCCACAAGAUGACCUUGGAUAUGCCACUUUGCCUUUCCCUGUAGCUGGAGGUAACAACCUCCGCCAACACUGAGUUUGAAGAAGGAUUAAGAAGCUUAAUAUCUAAAGAAGCAGAUUCCAGGAUAAACAGUCGAGUGUUCGGGAGGCACAGGGGACACCAAUAAGGAAAUGAAGAUGGCUGGCAACCUUAAGGAGGAGGCCUUGGAAAGCCACCAACUGUAACAGGACAAUGGUACCUCCAGAAGAAGAAUGUGCUAUAGCCUCAGGACCUAGUGCAGGGCUGGCCACCCAGCUGGUGGAAAUAUGCACUACUGUUUGGAGACAGAGACAACCUCCCAUCUGCACUGGCAAUUGAAGGCAUAUCAUGUGAC